GAUGAACGCUGGCGGCGUGCUUAACACAUGCAAGUCGAACGAAGCACUUUAUUUGAUUUCCUUCGGGACUGAUUAUUUUGUGACUGAGUGGCGGACGGGUGAGUAACGCGUGGGUAACCUGCCUUGUACAGGGGGAUAACAGUUGGAAACGGCUGCUAAUACCGCAUAAGCGCACAGCAUCGCAUGAUGCAGUGUGAAAAACUCCGGUGGUAUAAGAUGGACCCGCGUUGGAUUAGCUAGUUGGUGAGGUAACGGCCCACCAAGGCGACGAUCCAUAGCCGAACUGAGAGGGUGACCGGCCACAUUGGGACUGAGACACGGCCCAAACUCCUACGGGAGGCAGCAGUGGGGAAUAUUGCACAAUGGGCGAAAGCCUGAUGCAGCGACGCCGCGUGAGCGAAGAAGUAUUUCGGUAUGUAAAGCUCUAUCAGCAGGGAAGAUAAUGACGGUACCUGACUAAGAAGCACCGGCUAAAUACGUG
rnacentral:rRNA from 1 species